UGGGGAAUAUUGGGCAAUGGGCGCAAGCCUGACCCAGCAACGCCGCGUGAAGGAAGAAGGCUUUCGGGUUGUAAACUUCUUUUCUCAGGGACGAACAAAUGACGGUACCUGAGGAAUAAGCCACGGCUAACUACGUGCCAGCAGCCGCGGUAAUACGUAGGUGGCAAGCGUUAUCCGGAUUUACUGGGUGUAAAGGGCGUGUAGGCGGGAAGGCAAGUCAGAUGUGAAAACUAUGGGCUCAACCCAUAGCCUGCAUUUGAAACUGUUUUUCUUGAGUGCUGGAGAGGCAAUCGGAAUUCCGUGUGUAGCGGUGAAAUGCGUAGAUAUACGGAGGAACACCAGUGGCGAAGGCGGAUUGCUGGACAGUAACUGACGCUGAGGCGCGAAAGCGUGGGGAGCAAACA
rnacentral:rRNA from 1 species